UACGUAGGGGGCAAGCGUUGUCCGGAUUUAUUGGGCGUAAAGAGCGUGUAGGCGGCUUUACAGGUCCGUUGUGAAAACUCGAGGCUCAACCUCGAGACGCCGGUGGAAACCGUAAAGCUAGAGUCCGGAAGAGGAGAGUGGAAUUCCUGGUGUAGCGGUGAAAUGCGCAGAUAUCAGGAAGAACACCAACGGCGAAGGCAGCACUCUGGGCCGGUACUGACGCUGAGGAGCGAAAGCGUGGGGAGCAAACAGG
rnacentral:rRNA from 1 species